UACGUAGGGGGCGAGCGUUGUCCGGAAUCAUUGGGCGUAAAGCGCGUGUAGGCGGCCCGGUAAGUCCGCUGUGAAAGUCCAGGGCUCAACCCUGGGAUGCCGGUGGAUACUGUCGGGCUCGAGUCCGGAAGAGGCGAGUGGAAUUCCUGGUGUAGCGGUGAAAUGCGCAGAUAUCAGGAGGAACACCAAUGGCGAAGGCAGCUCGCUGGGACGCGACUGAUGCUGAGACGCGAAAGCGUGGGGAGCAAACAGG
rnacentral:rRNA from 1 species